rnacentral:rRNA from 1 species
GAUGAACGCUGGCGGCGUGCUUAACACAUGCAAGUCGAACGAGAAGUGAAGACGGAAACCUUCGGGCGGAAGGCUUUAUUUCGAGUGGCGGACGGGUGAGUAACGCGUGGGUAACCUGCCUCAUACAGGGGGAUAACAGUUGGAAACGACUGUUAAUACCGCAUAAGUCCACAGCACCGCAUGGUGCGGGGGUAAAAACUCCGGUGGUAUGAGAUGGACCCGCGUUCGAUUAGCCAGUUGGCGGGGUAACGGCCCACCAAAGCGACGAUCGAUAGCCGAUCUGAGAGGAGGCCCGGCCACGUGGGGACUGAGACACGGCCAAAACCCCCAGGGGGGGCAGCAGGGGGGAAAGUGGAAAAAGGGGGGAAACCCGGAAGCACCGACGCCGGGUAAAGAAAGAAUUUUUGCGGAAUGAAAAGCCCUAUCAGCAGGAAAAAAAAGGACGGUCCCUGGGUAAGAACCCCCGGCUAACUACG